UCCCUGGUGAUCUAGUGGUUAGGAUUCAGUGCUCUCACCACCACAGCCCAGGCACGAUUCCUGGGCAGGGAA